rnacentral:rRNA from 1 species
UACGAAGGACCCGAGCGUUAUCCGGAUUUAUUGGGUUUAAAGGGUGCGUAGGCGGAUUAGUAAGUCAGUGGUGAAAGCCCGUCGCUUAACGGCGGAACUGCCAUUGAUACUGCUAGUCUUGAGUAUGGUUGAGGUGGGCGGAAUGUGUCAUGUAGCGGUGAAAUGCUUAGAUAUGACCCAGAACACCAAUUGCGAAGGCAGCUCGCUGGGACGGUACUGACGCUGAGACGCGAAAAGCGUGGGGGAGCAAACAGG